UAUGUCCUACGGGACGCAGCAGUGGGGGAUAUUGCACAAUGGGGGGAACCCUGAUGCAGCGACGCCGCGUGGGUGAAGAAGCGCCUCGGCGCGUAAAGCCCUGUCAGCAGGGAAGAAAAUGACGGUACCUGAAGAAGAAGCCCCGGCUAACUACGUGCCAGCAGCCGCGGUAAUACGUAGGGGGCAAGCGUUAUCCGGAUUUACUGGGUGUAAAGGGGGCGCAGACGGCGAUGCAAGCCAGGAGUGAAAGCCCGGGGCCCAACCCUGGGACUGCAUUGGAAACUGUAUUGCUUGAGUACCGGAGA
rnacentral:rRNA from 1 species